rnacentral:rRNA from 1 species
CCUACGGGGGGCAGCAGUGGGGAAUAUUGCACAAUGGGGGAAACCCUGAUGCAGCAACGCCGCGUGAGCGAAGAAGGCCUUCGGGUCGGAAAGCUCUGUCCUAAGGGAAGAAGCAUGACGGUACCUUAGGAGGAAGCCCCGGCUACCUACGUGCCAGCAGCCGCGGUAAUACGUAGGGGGCGAGCGUUACCCGGAAUCACUGGGAGUAAAGGGUGCGUAGGCGGAGGAUUAAGCCAGGGGUAAAAGGCUCCGGCUAAACCGUAGUAAGCCCUUGGAACUGAUUGGGUGGAGGGCAGGCAAGGAGAGUGGAAUUCCUAGUGUAGCGGUGAAAUGCGUAGAUAUUAGGAGGAACACACGUGGCGAAGGCGACUCUCUGGACUGUAACUGACGCUGAGGCACGAAAGCGUGGGGAGCGAACAGGAUUAGCUACCCGAGUAGUC